CCCUUUCCUCUGUGCUUGAAAAUGGGGAAUGGCCUAACCUCGGCAAGGCUUCUCCAAGAUGGCAAAAUAAACUGUGGAAGCUGCUGUUUCCAAAAUGGGUGACCAGUAUCCCAUUUCCACAUAGCACCCCCAUCCAGGAAGGUGGAACCUCUGAAAGGGUAAGAGGAAAAGCCGAAGAUUUCACAGGAAGAGCCACGGCUCCAGGGCCACCAGGAAGGCAGCUCAGGGCACGUGUGGAGGGACUGCCACCGUGAACGAAGCAGGCAGGAGCACAUCUAGGUUUUGUGGGACCUGAAUAUAUGCAUUUUGAGGAGCUUUCUUUAAGAAAAGAACAUUACAAAUAUAAAACGCCCACGGCCAAUACAACUUACCCAACAGAGGAUGUGUGAUGGGGGGAGGGCGGAAGAAGGAGGCCAUCGUCACCCACUGAGGUUAAAAAUCUCACACCGUGCCAACUCUUCGAACAGCACCUGACCUGCGGGGGCGUUCCCAGGCCACUCUGGGAAGUGGCUCCAAAGCGUCGCUUGAUUAGCAUUGCCCUGUGAUUGGAACGUCUUGGAGCUGAAGGCCAGAGGCAGACUCUUGUCUAAACACCAUCCCCUAUAAACUCCCGCAUUCGGGGCGACCUCCACCCCACACGCUGAGACGGAAUUUCCUGCCAAAUGCAGGUGGGCGUGGCAAGCCAAAUUUAUUUGAUUUAGAAAUACAAGUAAAUAUGCUACUUCUUGCAGAGAAGUGUCCUAAAACAUCUUACUUAUACCAUACUCAGGGAAUACCUUUAUUUUUAAAAGACAAUCAAGCAACAUAUCCUGAGAAAAUUACUUCUCUUCCUGAGUCUGUUUUCCCAUCUCAGACAUGAGCAUGACAAACCCAGGCCCCGGCUCAGUGUGGGAAUGAAGUGAGCUACCACACAGAAGAUCCUGGCACGGGGACCAUUGUUUCCGUGCGUCUACUGGGUCCAGGCCCUUGAGCCAGUGCGGGGAAGACAGAGGUGAUGCACCCCAGACCCUGUCCUCAGGCCCUCACGGUCGAACCUCCCUGAGGUCUACUGAAGAGGUUAGCUGUGCAAAACUGAGCUUUGCAAAGCAGGGAGGGGCCUGGCCUGGUGACUGUCAGCUCACAGACGAGAGAAGCUCACUCAGACUGAGGCCCGCAGGCCCAGGGAGGCCAGCCGGCUUUGGGAGCGGACGUGGCGAGGCGGUCAGCCGGGAGUGGGUCCGAGUGCCAGCCUGCCUUGCUGUGUCUUCUGCGGCAAAUCACUUCCCCUCUGGGAACCUGAGUUUCCACGAGGAUUUGGGGAGAAGCACUAACUGAGAGAAGUACCCAACACAGAACAGGGGCUCAGUAGUUGGAAACGUUUUCUGUUACAUCCAUCCCCACCCCGAUUGAGAAUUUGGGGUAAAAUCUGGUUCCCUGGGAAGCCAUUUCUGAAUCCUCUUUCUCUGCAAGAAGCAGACUUCCAGGUCCAAGCAGAGGGCUCGAGAGACUUCCCCCUUCUACUUAAUUCUACCGAAUUCUAUUUAAAUGAAGCAUCCUCCUUCAAGCAGGAAACUCAAACCACUUCCUCCUGCUAGAGUUCUUUGCAAUGUCCCCUUUUCUUAACAUCUGGCCAGAUGCCCAACUGCAAGGAGCCUGAAGCCUUUGGUUUGGGGACGGCUCUGUGGCACUUUUCCCUGGUUCCUGAGCUGACUCGGGCCAGCGGGUCUGGCCUGAGAAGCCCAAGUCUGCAACCCAGAGCUCCUGCCAUGGCACUCCCGAGGCUUUCUUCUCAUUAGCAUCCUCCAGUCUGCCAGGCAGCCUGCUGCCAAGAUGGCAAGCCACACUCCAGGGACUUUUGUCACUCCCAGUAUCUUGUCCCUGGAUGCCUUUCUCCACGCCACCAGCCAUGUCUUUGCUGCAGCUCAUUCUCAUGAGGACGAGGGACAUCCUGAGAUCACAGAUUGGGCACUGGACUGAGAGUGGGGAGACCUCAGCUCUGCCAGCAACACAUGCAGCUGGGAUGUCACUAAGCUCCCACUUUCUCAGGUGCAGAAUAAUGGGGGCUGACCCAGAUCGGCCCGAGGGGUCUCCUAAACAGCAGUCCACGCACCCCUCAUCCUACCACUCUUUCUGUGAAGGCCCGAGUGCCCUGUUCAUUUGAGCAAAAAGUUUAAAAUUCAGGACUCCUCUUGAAGUCCUUCUUUCACUGAGUACCAGCCGCAGACUGGGCCCUAUGUCAGGGCCUAAAGAUCUUUAAAUGAACAACAACGCCCUGCUCUGAAGGAGCUCCCAGAUGAGAAACAGGGACACGCAAAGAUGACAAGAAAGGGGCUGAUGCUAGAAAGGAGCACAGAGCCGACAGCCACUUCCCCCUUAGAGCCUCGUCCCAGAGGAGGAACCACACUGAGUCCUGAGGAUGAAGUUGGAGAGCCCUGAGUUCAGAGGAGGUGAGGGAAGGAGAGUCUAAGAAGAAGGAACGGCAUGCGCAAAGCCAGGUCAGAGGUUUGGAAUUAAUCCCACGUGGCCACUGUGCCAGGGUCAUGCCACGAGCAGCAGAAUGGUCCAGCAAAGAGGAUGGGACAUGUGCUGGAGGUCCUGGGCCUCAGCCCUCCCCAUGCAGAAGGAGACCCAUCUGUCUGAUGGCAGCUCGUGGAGGUUUCCAGGGCAAUCUGAUGAGGAGGUGCUCACCAAACCCAGGAAGCAGGAGCGACUUCCGGGCACCAGCUCCCAGCCCAGCGCCGGCCCGGGGCUCUAGGCGUUUCCCUCCAGAGUCUCCGACUGAGACUUGAAGAAAACAGUCUUAAAAGUCAGACAAAUAUUUAGAGUUUUACAAACUCAGCCUACAAAUCGGGAGGAAUUGGGAAACUCGCGUGUCAGAUGUGCGGUCUGUUCUCUACAAUCCAAAGCGGGCUUGGUUUCCGGGAGGGCGAUGACUCUCCUGCCUGCUCACUGCUACGGUGGGACCACGUCUGAAGAGGCGGUGUUUCACAUUAAGGCGACGGAAUUUAAUGAAACAAAGGAGAAAAAGUGGCAUCAAUUUGGUGUUAGUGUCCAUCUCAUGGGUUUUGGCCCAGCUAUGAAGACCCUCUGGCAAAAGGAAAACAGCACAGAUUGGCAGGCAAGUGACAGAAGUGGCCCGAGGCAAUCCUCCGCUUCAUCCUCUUGCCCCUGGAGGCAGACCAGGCUAAACACAGAAGCAGGGCUUCAAAGGAGGGGCUUGGAGCCUCCCCACAGUGACUCACUGGGCUCCAGAGGAAGCCGGGGUCUCCCGGGAUCAGCAGUCGGCCUUGAGGUGGUUCUCUGGAAGCCCUCUCCCAUGGCGAUGAGAGCAAAGAGAGGCCGUGUGGUCUCAGGGAGAGACCCCGCAUGUAGCGCAGCCUCUAAUUCUCUGCGUGACCUCGGGCGAGCUGCUUCCUCAGUUCUUACAAAGAGGGCGUUGGAGCUGUAGGGUGAGCAGCAGCUUACAGUUUGGGAAUGAGGCAGAUGGAGCCUGGAUCCCAGUCCUGCCACUUGUCAGGGAAUGUGAGCUGUCACCUUUCCACCAAGGCACUCAGCAUCUCAUAGAGAGCUCCUGGCUCUGCACUUGCAUCCUCCCCAGGGGGCAGCCUGGGUCGCUUGCCGCCUCUGGGCCUCAGCUCCCUCCUCUGUCGAGUGCACAGCAGAACACAGGCAGUGUGAACACUGGAGGUCACGGACACCAAGUGUCUGCUCCGGAGCAGGCCUUCGGGAGCUGUUAGGCCCAACUCCCCGCCCCUCCGCUAGCCUCAACUGGACCGUCGACGCAGCGCUUCAGGACGUGCCCCAGCCCAUGCCACUGCGGAGCAGGUCUGUUCCGAACCAGACCACAGCCAGAGAUGGGUCUCCAAAUCCCGCCUCCACAGCCUGACUUACCCACGACUGGCAUCGGAGGCCCACAGCCUGGAGUGGAACAGGCCUGCAUUGCACGCACACUCCACAGAGAGAUGACGUGGACAGGACAGGGCAAUUCAACACUGCCACGGCCCAGGGAACCCAGGCCUCCUCUCCUAAAGGCAGGAAUCAGAUGCACUGAGUCCAGGAAAGGGUGGCUUCCCCAGACCCAGACAAUCAAAGAAGAAACGGAAGCUUAUCAGAUGUCUCCUGCUGCUGGGCUGAGCCACACCAGUGCCUGCAGUAGGUGUGGCAACUGAGGCACACGGUCUAAGUGAGAAUUGCCAGAGGUCAUGCAACUGAGUUCGAAUCUCAAACCACAUCCACCAGAGGGCAAAGCCCAGGCUUCUGCGCUCUGUGUCGUUUCUUUCAAUCCCACCAUCCCACAUUCAUACCUUCACCAAGUCUCGUUAAGCCCUGCCAUGUGUCAGGCACUGUUCUAGGCUGGGGACACAGCAGCUACCCAGACAAGGACCCUGCCCUCGAGGAGUUCCCACGCCAGUGGAGGGGCAUCUGAACAAAUGCCCGUGGUAAUUUUGGAUAAACUGAGUGCUAUGGAAAAAAUAAAAUAAUGGGAAUGAGAGUGACUACUGUGGGCAUGGAGAGGGGAGAGGGCAGGACGUGUUUCCCUCGGGUGCUUAGGGAAAGGCCCCCGGAAGAAGGGAUGUUUGAGUGAGCCCUGAAUGAUGAGAAGGUAAACACGGGGAGAUGGGGGGAGACAUCCCGCAGGCAGAAGGAAGAGCAGAGGUCCUGGGCUGGGCAGCAGCUUGUGUGUUCAAGGGUCCGAAAGAGGCCGGAGAGGCUAAAACAGAGGGAGCCACGGGCAUACACAGUAGGAGAUGAGGUCAGGAGCACGGAGAAGGGCCGGUUCACGGGGUGCAGAGACCGCAGUUAGUCCUGUGUGAAGAGGGUCUCAGGACGGAAUGUGGAGUGAGUAAACUGUCCGCAUUAGAAGGGCAGCCUCCCUGCAAGAGCCAGCCUUGCACGAAGGGAACAUCCCCACUGGGCCUCUUCCCAACUGUGUGGCUGUGGGCAAGCGCCUUCCCCCUCUGGACCUUGGCCUCCUUCCGUGUAAAGCGGAGAUUAUAACACCUGCCUCACAGACCAGGGGUGAGGAUUCGACACCGUGGACUGGCCCAUCCCCUGCCGCUGCAGAGAGUUAACGGAAAACCUCCUUGGCGACCACGGGGCAUCCAGAUGCUCUUGCAGCUGGUCACUAGAAGGACUUGGGCGAUCGACUGCUUGGCCAACAGGUCAUCCCCCGUCCACGCCGACGUGGCAGUGCUGUGCAAGCAGUCCCUCUCAGGGGCUGCCCACUGAAAAUGGCCCGGCUGCUGCUUCUGAGAGAACCGGCUUCAGACUCUGUGGCAGUCUCUGAGGGUCCCAGGAAGGACCCUGCGGCUAGAUGUGAUCCUUCUCAAACUUCGGUGUGCACGUGGGUGGCUUGAGAUCUAGUUAAAACGCAGCUUCUGAUCCAGUAGGUCUGGGGUGGGGCCUCAGAUGCUGCUUUUCAUAGAAAUUCCCAGGGGAUGCAGGUCCAAGGACCACACCUUGAGUAGCAAGGAUUAGAGCCAAGUGGCUUCCAAGGCAUAGACAAUAUUGAAUCCACUACAGAAAGAUUGCAAAGCAAUUGCCUGCUUUUAGUCAUUUGUCAUUGAAUUCAUUAAAUAAACGUUCGUAGCAUGCCUCCCGUGCCCUAGGCCCAUGCUGGGGAGUGGGAUGUCGGGGUCAGGCUUGCCCUCACAGAGCACGUCUCCUAGCAGCAGAGCCGAAUAAGCGAGUCAUCAGGAUAACCUCGGCACAGGGCGUGGGUGGGCCGGGCUAUUAGGGGAGCACAGGGCUUGAGAGGGUCAGGGAAGACCUCUGGGAUGAAGGG
ensembl:lncRNA